rnacentral:rRNA from 1 species
UACGUAGGGGGCAAGCGUUGUCCGGAGUUACUGGGCGUAAAGCGCACGCAGGCGGUCUGCUAAGUUUGGAGUGACAGUUGGUGGCUCAACCACCAAAGUGCUUUGAAAACUGACAGACUUGAGGGCUUCAGAGGGACACGGAAUUCCGGGUGGAGUGGUGAAAUGCGUAGAGAUCCGGAGGAACACCGAAGGCGAAGGCAGUGUCCUGGGGAGUACCUGACGCUCAGGUGCGAAAGCUAGGGAGCGAACGGG